rnacentral:sRNA from 1 species
AGGGAUCAUUACCGAGUUUACAACUCCCAAACCCACUGUGAAUCUUACCUACUGUUGCUUCGGCGGGAGUGCCCCGGGUGCCAGCCGGCCCCGGAACCAGGCGCCCGCCGGAGGUAUCAAACUCUUCUGUUUUUUUCAGCGGCAUUAUCUGAGUGGCUUCAAUGCAAAACAAAAUGAAUCAAAACUUUCAACAACGGAUCUCUUGGUUCUGGCAUCGAUGAAGAACGCAGCGAAAUGCGAUAAGUAAUGUGAAUUGCAGAAUUCAGUGAAUCAUCGAAUCUUUGAACGCACAUUGCGCCCGCCAGUAUUCUGGCGGGCAUGCCUGUUCGAGCGUCAUUUCAACCCUCAAGCCCCCCAGGGGGCGCGGUGUUGGGGACCGGCCGCCGCCUCGGUAGCGGUGGCCGCCCCCGAAAUACAGUGGCGGUCCCGCCGCAGCGUCCUCUGCGUAGUAGUGUAAAAACCUCGCAUCGGAGCGCGGCGCGGCCAUGCCGUUAAAACCCCAAACUUCUGAAAGGUUGACCUCGGAUCAGGUAGGAAUACCCGCUGAACUUAAGCAUAUCAAUAA